rnacentral:rRNA from 1 species
AUGAAUUCUAACUUCCGCGCUACUCAUCCAUGUGCAGAGGGGAAUAGCAGGUUAUGCGUCUCCGUGAGAGACUACUACUGUUACAUGCUGCAGACACGACCUGGGAUAUUCAAUCCCAUACUCUGUGGAGCACGAUUGCUCCAGCAAUGGGGGGUGGACAUGUACAUCAAGAUUGAGAGUUGUAGGUUGAAAUGGUACAGGAAGAACCAGACAAAGAUCCGUGCCGACCUGUAUAAAGGAGUUGUUGAUGCAAUUACAUCCGGGGAGACCCGGGCAAGCGCUGUUGGAGUAAGGAUAGUG